GUAACACGUGACUAACCUACCCUGAAGUGGGGAAUAACUGGGGGAAACCCUAGCUAAUACCGCAUAAUACCUACGGGUCAAAGGAGCAAUUCGCUUCAGGAGGGGGUCGCGGCCGAUUAGUUAGUUGGCGGGGUAAUGGCCCACCAAGACAAUGAUCGGUAUCCGGCCUGAGAGGGCGCACGGACACAUUGGAACUGAAACACGGUCCAAACUCCUACGGGAGGCAGCAGUGGGGAAUUUUGCGCAAUGGGGGAAACCCUGACGCAGCAACGCCGCGUGGAGGAUGAAGUCCUUCGGGACGUAAACUCCUUUCGAUCGGGACGAUUAUGACGGUACCGGAAGAAGAAGCCCCGGCUAACUUCGUGCCAGCAGCCGCGGUAAUACGAGGGGGGCGAGCGUUGUUCGGAAUUAUUGGGCGUAAAGGGUGCGUAGGCGGUUUGGUAAGUCUUAUGUGAAAUCUACGGGCUUAACUCGUAGACUGCAUGAGAAACUGCCGGGCUUGAGUAUGGGAGAGGUGAGUGGAAUUCCUGGUGUAGCGGUGAAAUGCGUAGAUAUCAGGAGGAACACCUGUGGCGAAAGCGGCUCACUGGACCAUAACUGACGCUGAAGCACGAAAGCUAGGGGAGCAAACAGGAUUAGAUACCCUGGUAGUCCUAGCCCUAAACGAUGACUGCUUGGUGUGACGGGUACCCAAUCCCGCCGUGCCGUAGCUAACGCGUUAAGCAGUCCGCC
rnacentral:rRNA from 1 species